GAAUGCAUGUACGGUACAUUUGUUGUGUGGUGGCAGCUCUCGUCUUGCAUGUUCCCUUUCAAAACACUGCUUUUUCAUUUUGCUUGUUGCCGGAUCUUCAUUGUGAGAUUCAAAAAGUAUUGAGAGGGGAACCAACUGAAGAGAGGACGUCAAGCACAGAGCUGUGGAACACUGAGCGAAUAAAUACAAGGGACGAGGUACAGCGACUGGCAGAGUGGUAUGCUAGAAACCACCUGACUCUCAACACCAAAACAAACAAGGAGGUGGUCAUGGAUUUCAGAAGAGACAAGGCUGACCAUGCCCCUCUUCGUAUCAAUGGUGACUGUGUGGAGAGGGUCCCCACCUGCUCAGCCUGCUUCCCUCUGGAAAGAGGAACAGACUUAAAAAAUCUGAACACUCAACACACACGAACCGUUACCUUGCCUUCAUUAUCACACAACAUCUGCAACAUGUUACAAUAACAUUCAUCAUGUGCAAUAUUUUACCUGUCCUGUCCAAAGUGUAUAAUUAUUUAAUUUAUUCUUGUUUUUAUCUACUUAUCCUGUAUCCUUGUUCUUAUGUUCCUUGUUCUUAUCUCUAAUGCACCGUCAGUUGUGGUCACUCACAAUUUCAUUGUAUUGGUCUCUGUGCAAUGACAAUAAAGGCUUAUCUUUU